UACAGAGGUCCCAAGCGUUGUUCGGAUUCAUUGGGCGUAAAGGGUGCGUAGGCGGUGGGGUAAGUUGGAUGUGAAAUCUUGGGGCUUAACCUCAAAAUUGCAUUCAAUACUGCUCCGCUCGAGUUCUGUAGGAGGAGAUUGGAAUUUACGGUGUAGCAGUGAAAUGCGUAGAUAUCUGGAGGAUACCGGUGGCGAAGGCGGCAUCCGUGGACCGGCAGUUGACGCUGAGUAGACGCGAAAGCCAGGGGAA
rnacentral:rRNA from 1 species